CCCCAGCGCCACGAGUGGUCAUCACGAUUAUUGGGCCUAAAGCGUUCGUAGCCGGUCUGGUAAAUCUCUUGUGAAAUUGUUCGGCUUAACCGGACAGCGUGCAGGAGACACUGCCAGGCUCGAGACCGGGAGGGGUUAGAAGUAUUCCAUGGGGACUGGUAAAAUGGGAUAAUCCAUGGAAGACUACCGAUGGCGAAGGCAUCUAACCAGAACGGAUCUGACGGUGAGGAACGAAAGCCAGGGGAGCGAA
rnacentral:rRNA from 1 species